rnacentral:lncRNA from 1 species
AUGCCCACAAGAGGAGACUAAAGCUGAGAGAAACUGAGGCCCCUGGCCCUAGAGCUUUCACUGAGCUCCAGCUGACAACCAUCAUCAAAUCACCAGCCAUGUGACUGUGCCAUGAUGGGAGGGAAUCACCCAGUGUCCAAAUGAUCUGAUGCCACAUGUAAAAGAGAAGAGCCUUCCCCUUUGAGCCCUGCCCAGAUUGCUACUCUGCACCAAGUGCAAAGAGAGAGACUCAACCAUUAACUGAAUA